UGGGUGACAGAGCGAGACUCUGACUCAAAAAGAAAAAAAAACUGUAACAAUAAUGAACCCUUUCAUAGUCCUUAUUAUGUGCAAGGUAUUGUCUGGUAUUUCGUAGAUAUUAAUUCACUCAAUCCUUAUAACAACUGUAGGAGGUAGGAACUGCUAUUGUCUCCAUUUUACAGAUGGAAGAACUGAGGCCAGAGAGGCUGAGAUUUGUUGAGGUCACCUGGCAGCAGGCUGUAGGGCCAGCUGCAAGCCCGGGGAGUCUACACUGGUGACUAGAUGGCGGAGUCGGCUCUCCCAACCGCCCAGCUGCUGCUCUCACACUCUAGAGUUGGACUUGAUCCUGCGAGCAUUGCAGAGCCAUGGAGAGGUGUUAAGUAACAGGGAAAAGGAUCUCAAAUUUGUCAAGCCCUUCAUCGUCUGGCCCCAUAAGUCCCUUCUCAGCAGGCCUGCCCAUCUGUACACUGGAGGAAACCCAGCUCUCCGUUCUGUCUGCUCCAGGUCCUGUUAUGUGGGAUUGGAGUGAAGCCCACAGUUAGAGGAGUGGCUGUUACGGGAAAGACAAUGAGUUUACUGGCAGGUAACUUGCUCUUGUGCUGCUGUUGGAAUAUCCAGGCAGAGUUAUGUAGGCAGUUGGGUGGAGAGGUCUGAUGCCUAGGAUGGACCUGAAGCUUGAGGGAUUAUGGAGUCAUCGCCAAUGCCCGGGGCAUGGGAUUGUCAGAAAGAACGCAGG